rnacentral:rRNA from 1 species
GUAGGUGGCAAGCGUUGUCCGGGAAUUAUUGGGGCGUAAAGCGCGCGCAGGCGGUUCUUUAAGUCUGAUGUGAAAGCCCACGGGCUCAACCGUGGAGGGUCAUUGGAAACUGGAGAACUUGAGUACAGAAGAGGAAAGCGGAAUUCCACGUGUAGCGGUGAAAUGCGUAGAGAUGUGGAGGAACACCAGUGGCGAAGGCGGCUUUCUGGUCUGUAACUGACGCUGAGGCGCGAAAGCGUGGGGAGCAAACAGGAUUAGAUACCCUGGUAGUCCACGCCGUAAACGAUGAGUGCUAAGUGUAGGGGUUUCCGCCCCUUAGUGCUGCAGCUAACGCAUUAAGCACUCCGCCUGGGGAGUACGGCCGCAAAGGCUGA